rnacentral:rRNA from 1 species
AUUGAACGCUGGCGGCAUGCUUUACACAUGCAAGUCGAACGGCAGCACAAACUUCGGUUUGGUGGCGAGUGGCGAACGGGUGAGUAAUGCAUCGGAACGUGUCCUGAAGUGGGGGAUAACGCAUCGAAAGAUGCGCUAAUACCGCAUAAUCUCUGAGGAGAAAAGUGGGGGGAUCGAAAGACCUCAUGCUUUUGGAGCGGCCGAUGUCUGAUUAGCUAGUUGGUAGGGUAAAGGCCUACCAAGGCCACGAUCGGUAGCUGGUCUGAGAGGAUGAUCAGCCACACUGGGACUGAGACACGGCCCAGACUCCUACGGGAGGCAGCAGUGGGGAAUAUUGGACAAUGGGCGCAAGCCUGAUCCAGCAAUGCCGCGUGUGUGAAGAAGGCCUGCGGGUUGUAAAGCACUUUCAGUGGGGAAGAACAGAUUCGGGUCAAUACCCCGGAGCCCUGACGUUACCCACAGAAGAAGCACCGGCUAACUCCGUCG